CCUACGGGUGGCAACAGUGGGGAAUAUUGCACAAUGGGGGAAACCCUGAUGCAGUGACGCCGCGUGAGUGAAGAAGUAUUUCGGUAUGUAAAGCUCUAUCAGCAGGGAAGAAAAUGACGGUACCUGAUUAAGAACCCCCGGCUAAAUACGUGCCAGCAGCCGCGGUAAUACGUAGGGGGCAAGCGUUAUCCGGAUUUACGGGGUGUAAAGGGAGCGGAGACGGCAGCACAAGUCUGGAGUGAAAUGCCGGGGCUUAACCCCGGAAAUGCUUUGGAAACUGGGGAGCUAGAGUGCAGGAGAGGUAAGUGGAAUUCCCAGUGUAGCGGUGAAAUGCGUAGAUAUUAGGAGGAACAUCAGUGGCGAAGGCGGCUUACUGGACUGUAACUGACGUUGAGGCUCGAAAGCGUGGGGAGCAAACAGGAUUAGAUACCCUUGUAGUC
rnacentral:rRNA from 1 species